ACGUGCAGCUCUGUGUGUGUGUGCGUGCGUGCGUGUGUGCGUGCGUGUGCGUGUGUGUGUGUGUCUUUUAGCCUUUGAAAAAAGUAAAAGCCGCUCGACUCUGGUGUGUUUCUCGCUGAGCUCCCGUUUCCGAAGAUGAGACAGAACUAAGUCGCUCCUAUAAGUUGCUAAAGAGCUUUGGAGGUUUGAAAGGUGCCACGUGACAGGAAGAAGCCAAAGCCACCGUGGGCAGGUAAACGCUACCGCAGGGUAUUAGCUGUUACAUGGUGAGGGAAACAGCCUUCAACUGGGGUCUAUAGGAGAGGACGAAAUGGUCUUGCCACAGAUUUAAUCUCUCAGGUUUGAUUCUGUGAGAGAAACUUCACCAUAAGAUUCUAUUCUAUCCAGGUUCCUGUAUUCACCCAUCAUUGUGGUGACUUUCGCCCCUGAAGAUCUAGAAACAACAUAUUUAACCAUGAAGGCUCCAGAAAUCCUGCUUUGGACAGCAACAGCAUUUCUAUCUUUGAGCUCUGCGCUGGGAGACUCGGUCAAAUCUAACGAACCCGAAGUGUCUGGAUCAGUUGGAGGUUCUGUGACACUCAGCUGUUCUUACACCACCAGCGAUAACUCUGUCUCUCUCUAUUGGUACCGUCAGUAUCCGAACCAAGCACCGCAGUACAUUCUCUGGAGAGGAGCGAAAUCCUAUAGCGAGUUCAGUGAUACCGCAAAUUUCGCCCAGAAGAGGUUUUCUUCCCAGGCUACUGACAGCUCCACAGUUCUGAACAUCACAGCGCUGGAGCUGGCAGACACAGCAGUGUACCUCUGCGCCCUGCAGAGAGCACAGUGACAGAGCCUCAUAGCAGAACCGUACAAAAACCCUCCCUUCCCAGCUGCAGAUAAUGUUGUGCACAUUGAGGUUGGAAGCGGAACCCCUCGGGAGUUUUGCUGCACCAUUAAAAACACAUAUUCUGGCUCGGAUGUUGUGCUGUCAGAUGACUCCUUCCUAAUCUCUCCAAAUCAGUUGUAUUAAAAUAGUGGUUUCCAUAUGAGGAAAAAUGAAUAAGACUGCGACUUUUCAGCUGGGAAAAGA